UACGUAGGGUGCAAGCGUUAAUCGGAAUUACUGGGCGUAAAGCGUGCGCAGGCGGCUUUGCAAGACAGAUGUGAAAUCCCCGGGCUUAACCUGGGAACUGCAUUUGUGACUGCAUGGCUGGAGUGCGGCAGAGGGGGGAUGGAAUUCCGCGUGUAGCAGUGAAAUGCGUAGAUAUGCGGAGGAACACCGAUGGCGAAGGCAAUCCCCUGGGCCUGCACUGACGCUCCAUGCACGAAAGCGUGGGGAGCAAACAGG
rnacentral:rRNA from 1 species